AUACUGUGUCAUCCCUAUACCUUUCUCAGAUAAUACUGACCAUGGAGGCCCCGCUGUUUGCCACCCCAGAGCAUUCUGAAGACUAGAAGCCCAAAUCAAGGUGACAAGAGGAUUGUUUUCUUCUGAGGCCUCCUCCCUUAGUUCACAGGUCUGUGGUUGUUGGAUAUUUUCCAGCUGUCAUUCUGAAAUGGAGAUGGACCAUCCAGGAAGCUCACUCCCAAAUUACCCACAAAGCAAAUAAAAUUAGAAUCAAA